AUUGAACGCUGGCGGCGUGCCUAAUACAUGCAAGUCGAGCGGACCAAAGAGAGCUUGCUCUCUGAGGUUAGCGGCGGACGGGUGAGUAACACGUGGGUAACCUGCCUGUAAGACGGGGAUAACUUCGGGAAACCGAAGCUAAUACCGGAUGAUAAAGAGAAACGCCUGUUUCUUUUUUGAAAGUCGGCCUUGUGCUGACGCUUACAGAUGGGCCCGCGGCGCAUUAGCUAGUUGGUGAGGUAACGGCUCACCAAGGCGACGAUGCGUAGCCGACCUGAGAGGGUGAUCGGCCACACUGGGACUGAGACACGGCCCAGACUCCUACGGGAGGCAGCAGUAGGGAAUCUUCGGCAAUGGACGAAAGUCUGACCGAGCAACGCCGCGUGAGCGAUGAAGGCCUUCGGGUCGUAAAGCUCUGUUGUCAGAGAAGAACAAGUACCGGAGUAACUGCCGGUACCUUGACGGUACCUGACCAGAAAGCCACGGCUAACUACGUGCCAGCAGCCGCAGUAA
rnacentral:rRNA from 1 species